AUUGAACGCUGGCGGCAUGCCUUACACAUGCAAGUCGAACGGCAGCACGGACUUCGGUCUGGUGGCGAGUGGCGAACGGGUGAGUAAUAUAUCGGAACAUACCUUGUAGUGGGGGAUAACUAUCCGAAAGGAUAGCUAAUACCGCAUACGAUCUAAGGAUGAAAGCGGGGGAUCUUCGGACCUCGUGCUAUAAGAGUGGCCGAUAUCUGAUUAGCUAGUUGGUGAGGUAAAGGCUCACCAAGGCGACGAUCAGUAGCUGGUCUGAGAGGGCGACCAGCCACACUGGAACUGAGACACGGUCCAGACUCCUACGGGAGGCAGCAGUGGGGAAUUUUGGACAAUGGGGGCAACCCUGAUCCAGCAAUGCCGCGUGAGUGAAGAAGGCCUUCGGGUUGUAAAGCUCUUUUGUCAGGGAAGAAACGGUUGUGGCUAAUAUCCAUGGCUAAUGACGGUACCUGAAGAAUAAGCACCGGCUAGCUACGUGCCAGCCGCCGCGGUAAUAC
rnacentral:rRNA from 1 species